rnacentral:rRNA from 1 species
AAAUUACGCCUUCCAUGAAGCCGGAAUUGCUAGUAAUGGCAGGUCAGCAUACUGCCGUGAAUACGUUCCCGGGCCUUGUACACACCGCCCGUCACACCAUGAGAGUUGGGAAUACCCGAAGCCUGUGAGCUAACUUUACGAGGCAGCAGUCGAAGGUAGAAUCAAUGAUUGGGGUGAAGUCGUAACAAGGUAGC